GACAGAGGGUGCAAACGUUGCUCGGAAUCACUGGGCGUAAAGCGCACGUAGGCGGGUCGUUAAGUCAGGGGUGAAAUCCUGGAGCUCAACUCCAGAACUGCCCUUGAUACUGGCGAUCUCGAGUUCGGGAGAGGUGAGUGGAACUGCGAGUGUAGAGGUGAAAUUCGUAGAUAUUCGCAAGAACACCAGUGGCGAAGGCGGGAUCGUCCUGGACAGUUCCGUGACGCUGAGGCAC
rnacentral:rRNA from 1 species